rnacentral:tRNA from 1 species
GGCUGGCUCAGUGGUUAGAGCACUGCCUGCUCUUCCAGAGAGUCUGGAUUCAAUUCCCAGCAGCCA